rnacentral:rRNA from 1 species
GACGAACGCUGGCGGCGUGCUUAACACAUGCAAGUCGAACGGAAAGGCCCUGCUUUUGUGGGGGGCUCGAGUGGCGAACGGGUGAGUAACACGUGAGUAACCUGCCCUUGACUUUGGGAUAACUUCAGGAAACUGGGGCUAAUACCGGAUAGGAGCUCCUGCUGCAUGGUGGGGGUUGGAAAGUUUCGGCGGUUGGGGAUGGACUCGCGGCUUAUCAGCUUGUUGGUGGGGUAGUGGCUUACCAAGGCUUUGACGGGUAGCCGGCCUGAGAGGGUGACCGGCCACAUUGGGACUGGGAUACGGCCCAGACUCCUACGGGAGGCAGCAGUGGGGAAUAUUGCACAAUGGGCGGAAGCCUGAUGCAGCAACGCCGCGUGCGGGAUGACGGCCUUCGGGUUGUAAACCGCUUUCGCCUGUGACGAAGCGUGAGUGACGGUAAUGGGUAAAGAAGCACCGGCUAACUACGUG